rnacentral:lncRNA from 1 species
ACCCAAAUUCUGAAUAAGUAAAAGAUCUCUCCGAAAAAUACAUAUGCAUGUUUUAUUCAAAAGGUAAGGAAUGAUGCGUCAUCAUCCCUAAUACACUUUAUUAUAGUAGUAGCAUCAAUUGAGGCAGAGAAGUUAAUUAGAUGCUGUCCUUAAUGGAUGCACUAUAACCGUUGUCAUAGAACCUGUUCCAAAGCAUAACUCCUCCGUACUUGGGCGAAUUCUUAAUCGUUGGAAGAACUUGUGACUUGAGAGCGUCAGCAGGAAUAAAUCCGCCGCUCGGAGCGGCCUCAGGAGCUGCCGGUAACCCCAUGAACACCUGGGUGGCCGGAACCGAGGCCCAUUGGUUCCAACUGCUCAAAAGAGCGUCGGCAUUACCGUCCGCAUACUGGCAUUGGGGGUUGUUGUAGAACUGGACCCAAACGUAGUCAAAUAAACCGGUUUGGAUAGCGCCGUCUAGGUGAGCAUCCGGGAUCGGACAUUGUGGAGCUGCGGCUAAAUAGACCGUUUUUGCCUGUCCGUUGUGUCCGUUGAGUGACUUGGCGAGCUCAUCAUAGAACUGCGCACCACCCGCCUCAAUGUCGAAAUCAACGCCGUCCAAAACCGCGUCCCCAAGCGGGCGCGAAGCUGACUGACCACCUAAGAAGUUGUUCCAGAUGUAAUCAGCAACUUGCCUUGCAUCAUCAGCUGAAGUGAGAGAGUAACUUCCGGCGGCCCCUCCAAUCGAGAGGAGGACUUUUAUGUUUUUUGAUUGGCAGGUUCUGAUGUCGGCACUCAGCCCGGUGCAAGUACCACUAGCGGGGUCGCAGUGGCCGGCGAGGUUUAGGACAGGGGUUUGGUUGUUUCCGAAAGUAGUGAGGAAAGCUAUGUUAACAAACUGGUAGUUGCCUGAGUUGCAAGCAUCUGCUAGGGUUCCUUCGUUUCCGUUUUGGCCCCAAUAGACCGCAAUUCCGGCGGCUUGGGAGGACUUGCAUGAAGAAAUGAGGAUCAAGAGGGACAGCGUUAGGGCUAGGGUUUGUGUUUUGGAUGCCAUUUUUAUAUGUUUUUUUGGGUUGUUGUUCAAAGUGCUUGGGAGUGGACAUGUACUUAUAGGUGCAGGGGACUUAUCGGUUAAGGUUUAGGGGAAGAAAAGUAUGACAGACGUGUUCUGCAGGUAAGAGUCUUCUGCUUGCAACCGCGUCAAUCACGUUAGGGCCUGUUUAUUUAGUCCAAGUUUCACUUUACAACUUAGAACACGUCAAUUAAAUUAGGUCGGGUUGAAAAUGCAUUUUCCAAAACCACUUUCACACAUAAGCGCUUCUUAUAUUUUCAUAAAAAUGCAAGUGGUUUUAUAAAAAAAAAAACUUGAGGUGUUUGGCGUGUGUUUUUUCAGAAAGCACUUAAAAUAUUUUUUCAACCUAAAAUCACUGAAUUUUUUAUGAUUUCAAAGUUCUUUUAAUUGUUUUGAAGGCACUUCCAACUGAUAUUUUAUAAAAAAUUACUUCUAGAGAGAAUUAUAGCAUGCUAAUUGAGAGAUUCCGAAACUAAAAAGCCAUCAAAUUUGCCAAAAAAAAAAUCUGAUGAGACAAUACGUGGAGAAUCAACACAGCUGUAUCAUCACCAAAAAUUUUCAGUGUGCAGAAAUACAGUCCGGUACAAAGUGUUAUAAUAAAAUUGGUUGAUUUUUUUUUUUAAGUUUCCAACUAAUUAUAUUAUUACACUUGAUGUACCGAUCCGUAUUUCUGAAAAAUCUCUCCUUACCAUCACAUCACAUGAAUGUUUUGGAAAGUUCGUAGAUAGAAACCAAAAUCUCUCCUUAUCAUCACAUCACAUCACAUGAACGUUUGGGAAGCUCGUCGAUAGAAACCAAAUGGAAUAUGCUUUUAGCUGAGGAUGGCCAUUGGCCAGGGACUUCGGUCUAAUCACGAUGCUUUAAUUUCGCAGUCGGAAAAAAACUUUCGAAUAAAAUUUAGGGUAUAUUUAGGAAGUGUUUUUAAAUGAUUGAAAACAUUUUUAGAAAUAUUUUUUUUUAAAAACGUUUCCAGUCAUUUAAAAAAACUUCUUAAACGAGUUUAAUUACUUGUGUAUGGGGCAACAUUUAGCUAGUAAUGGUUCUCAUGAAUUGGAUUGUGGUGAUGUGAAAAUGGGUUUGGGUUAGUUUAGUUUAGAGUUUAUAUUUACUAUCCGGUGCAUGCAAAUGGAAUGUCAAAUCUUUCAGAGAAAUUUUGAUAGAACUGCCACUUAGGGCAACACAUAUUAAACAAACAAAUGUAGGGUUGGAGAAGACUAAAAUACAUGAAUUCUCGUGUUUUCAUAAAUGUGAUCUAAAAAUAAUAUAGCAUGUGCCCUGAGAACAACGUGAUCAGUACCUAAUCGAAGUUCUCUAGUGUGGAAAGAUUCAAGAGGGGUGUGACGCUUCCGACAAAUAAAAAAUCACACAUUUUCGAAUUCGGAAAUGUAUAGAACAGAGCAGAUAUCACUAGAUGAAUGUUAACUGUUUUACAGAAAAUUUAUAAGACAAUUAGAGUUAAACAACAGAAGCUUGCACUUUAAAUGGUUAUGUCCAGCUGCUUUUGGUAUGUAUAUGCUUUUUCCAUGUCUCGAUGUAGUUCCAGUUCACUGCUCAUCAUCCUGGAACAAUGCUUUCGAAACAGAGCCGCACGGCUGGCUACUGUAUUCUCGGUAAUCUUCAUCGUCAUCACAGCUGCGUUGCGAGCAUGAACGUUUGAUUCCUGUCAUUGGGGUUUCACAGACUCUGUCAUCGCAUGAACCUCUAUGAUCCUUCCUUUUAAACAGCUUUCGAAGCGGAUUUGACUUUGGUUUCAAUGGUUUCAGCCGUUUGGGGGCCCAAACUCUCUGCAGAUCGGGCAUCCAUCUUGUGGAUGAAGCGAAUCUCCAAGCCCUCUCUCUCCUCUCUUGAGCUUCAAGUAACUUGCGAGCAUGGUCGUCCUAUUGUUUGAUCUCUUCGACGCUUGGUCUUCCAAUAUCAGUUUUCAGCGGACGAAGAGACUCACCUUCUGCUUGUAAUGAGUCCCAGAUUCUAUAACUUCCAUCCACUUCGACACUCUUCGGUUUUUCUUUACAGGAUCGAUUGCUAUCCUCACUGUUGAGUAAACUAUUAGGGAGUUCUUCCUCAUCAGCAAACAGUAACAAAUCCAUUUUCGUAUAGAUUUUGUGAACCACAUCUUCAAGUGUCUCACAGUACCUGAAAAAUGUCCAAAUUCAGGCUCUUGACAAUUUGACAAAGCAUUUCAUUGAAAAGGUUCAAUCCUUACUACCAUUAUAAUUUAUAAUGUGUUGUAUGGUUUACCUCGUAAUGGUGCUAAGUUAUUUCUACAGUUUUGGGGCAUUUUUUUUGCAGUUUCGGUGCAAUUUUGAUGCAGUUCUUUUUUUUUGCAAUUUUGCUGCAUUGUUGUUGCUGUUUUUGCUGCAUGUUCAUUGAUUAAUAAAAAGGUCGUACCCAGUGCACAAGGCUCCCUUGAUUAAUAUAUGAGAAAAAUAAGACUGUCAUAUGCUUAAAUAGGUGUAUAUUUUAAAUUAUACAUUUUUUUUUCAAAAAUCGAACCGAAACUGUUUGAAACCGUACCGCACCAAACCAAACGGUUUGGUUUCAUUUCAGUUUUGGCUUCAAAACUGCACCGAACCGCACCGCAAAAAAAUUUGGUUUCGGUUGCGGUUUCACUCGAAACCGCACCGAAGCGCACCGCGCCCACCCCUACAGGGGACUUGUCGAUGAAGGUUUAGGGGAAGAGAAGUAUGACAGACGUGUCUUGCGGGUACAAAAUGGGUGCCAGUCUUCUGCAUGCAUGGAACCGCGUGAACCAAGUUAGGGCCUGUUUAGUCCAAGUUUCACUUGACAACUUAGAAAUUUGUCAAUUAAGUUAGGUCGUGUUGGAAAUUCUUUUUUCAAAAACCACUCAUAAGUGCUUUUAAUAUUUUUCGUAAGAAUGCAAGCGUUUUUAGAAAACACACUCAAGGUGCUUAGCGUGUGCUUUUUUUUAGAAAGCACUUUUAAGUGUUUUUUCAACCUAAAAACACUUGUUUUAAAGACACUUCCAACAAACACAUAAUUAAUGGAAAAUUACUUCCAGAGAGAAAUAUAGCAUGCUAUUUGAGAGAUUCCAAAACUAAAAGCUAAAUAGUUAUUAAGCGUGACCUUAACCAAGGUGAAAUAAAAUAUCAAAUUUGACAAACAAUCUGAUGAACGUCAUAGCUAUAUGUAUAGUCAGUAGAUGAGAUAAUCAUGAAACAAAACGUGGAGAAUCAACACAGCCUUAUCAUGGCCAAAAUUUGUCUGUGUGCCAGAACCACGGCCUAGUACACUAAAAGUGUCAUAAUAGAAUUGGUUGGAAAUUCAUUCGGUUACAACUGACUCUGAAGUCUUUAUUUCUGCACAACCACAUAGUGAGAUGUUUGCUUACCAUGCAACCAUGAUGUCCAAUACUCUUGGUACCUCAAUCGUUGUCUUUACCAAAACUGGUUUUAUGGCUAUUCUAUUGAGCCAUUACCGACCUACCGGGAUCAUAUUUGCCUUCACGAAUGAGUGAGUUUUCAAUUUACCUGUCACAAAGGCAUUUAGUUAAAAUUUGUAACUGUAUCAGUCAAAAUAUGCUGUGAAAGUUCUAUUCAUUAGCAAGUACUUUGAUUGCCAUGCAGUAAGAGCAUACAACGGAGAUUGGCUUUGUAUCAAGGCGUAUGUCCAAUAUAUACAUGGAGUUCACAGAAGAUUCUGAAACAAGCUUUAGCAAUGCCUUGACUGUGCUGAAGGUGAUGUUUUGCUGCAGAUUUCCUAAAUUUAUGGCGACGUAUGCUAUUCAACCAUGCCAGCACUGAUGGUUCAUUUUCUGUUGUUCUGUUUGCAGGAGCAAGGAUUGGUAAAGGCAGGAGAAGAGGUCGCACUCGUUCAAAGUGGCAGGCAACCCAUUUGGCGGCUCCAAUCCACUCACAAAAUUCAAGUGCGCAAAAUUUAGGUGCAACGGAGAUGGAAUAAUCGCCCUCGUAACAUAGAUUUCUUCGUCUACACUACAAAAGUUUCAAAUGAUAGCUUUUGUGUUGUACUUCCAGCGGAAUUGUCGUGAUACUUUCUUCCUUUGGUUGUUUUUUUUCUUCUGUUGCACACUUUUGUGAUCCUAUCAAUGUGCUUCUUUUUGUUUCCGAUUUCCCCCUAGUUAAUUUUGGCGUAUGUUUUAGAACUGUAAGUUGUUAAAGUAUAAAUUUGGCAGUUUGAAUGCAAACUGUCUAAAUUUUUUUAAUAGUUCGAUUGAGGAAACAGAUCGUCACACUCACAUUCUAAUAUCCGCCGCUUACCGUUUGUCGUGUGGCCGUUUAACACUGACUAAGGUAGAUCUCACAUCAGAUCAGCACGGGACUAGGUUCCGUGCUCUUGUGAAAGUUAUUCUACGUACGACGUGAUUCUACACAUGGUUUGUGGUUUGGGCUUGAACCGGUCUCUACGAAAUGAGGCAGAUUUUUUGUUUAUUAACAAAGGUCAAAAGUCAAACAAAAAUUGUUGAUACAGACUAUCUUAAACAAAAUUAAACAACAUUCGCUUGAAUAAUUAUCAAAUUGACAAUGUCUCAUAGGUGAUGCUGUCCAUACACUCUUUUUAUUUUUCACUCACUCCUCCCAAUUUUUAACCGUCAGAUCGAAUAAAUUAAAGAUGAUCAAAAGACAAAAAUUAACUGAAGAUAUGUGAAAGAAAAAACAAAAUGUAUAUAUAGCAUCACCUAUCUUAUUAGGAUAAUGACAUCCGAUUUAUUUGAUAUAAUCUUUUAGGGAAACCAAAACGUUGAGUUACAAAAGUCAAACUCUUCCGAUGAUGGAAUAACUAUAUCCAUUUUUAUCAUCACAAAACUCGGACCCUAACAUCACACCACCAUACUUCGACGACUUCUUUAUCACCAGUAGAAUUUCCGAAUUCAGCAAAGCAGCCACAAUAUACCCACUUCUGGCCACCUCAGGAGUGGCCGGCAACCCCAAAAACAUCUUCCCUUUCUAAUACAUUAAUGAUGUCAGUUGGCGUCUUAACAAGAUGGGAGACUUUGGAGUCGCUUUAUUGGGAUCUCCCGAGUACUCGGUACUCUAUGUAUUUUAACCGUUAAAUCUUUGUUUAAAAAUAUAAAAAUCAAAUUCUAACAGUUAAAAUAUUCAAAAUAUCCAUAGUACCGCUCGAAAUUUUUUGAGACAUUAAAUGCAAUCCCUCCAAGAAAUCAUCUCAAAUUUUUUUGAGACAUUAAAUGCGAUCUCUCCAAGAAAUUAUUAGAUUAUACCGUAGUACCAUCUCAGCCGUGGUAGUUUCAUCCAAAGGCUAGCCUUUACAAUAUGAGCUAGCCAGCCUUCAUGCACACAGUGCCUGCCAAUCAUGUAAAACCAUUGACAAUGAUACAUGACAAUUUAUUUGGACCUAUAACUUCAUUUCAUAACUACAUCAGAUAACCGUUUAUGUGCAACUAUAUUUUAUUCAAUUUCAAAAAUUAGCAUAUGCAAUGACAUGUUUUAUCGUAAAAAGUACAAGAAAUUUUCAACGUAUCACAAAUACAAAGUGUUAUACCACAUGUCAUUAUAUAAAGAGAAAUUUUUUAUAUUUUAAGUCUGUCUCCACUUAUAUAAUAUGUGUUGUACCAUCCGAAUUCCGGAUCAGUAAAAGAUCUCUCCAAAAAUACAUAUGCAUGUUUUAUUCAAAAGGUUAGGAAUGAUGCGUCAUCAUCCCUAACGCACUUUAUUAUAAGUAGUAUCAUCCAUUGAGGCAGAGAAGUUAAUUAGAUGCUGUCCUUAAUGGAUGCACUAUAGCCGUUGACAAUGUCAUACUGCCUGCCCCAGAGCAUAAUUCCUCCGUACUUGGGCGAUUUCUUAAUCGUUGGAAGAACUUGUGACUUGAGAGCGUCAGCAGGAAUAAAUCCGCCGCCCGGAGCGGCCUCAGGAGCUGCCGGUAUACCCAAGAACACCUGGGUGGCCGGAACCGAGGCCCAUUGGUUCCAACUGCUCAAAAGAGCGUCGGCAUUACCGUCUGCAUACUGGCAUGGGGGGUUGUUGUAGAACUGAACCCAAACGUAGUCAAAUAAACCGGUUUGGAUAGCGCCGUCUAGGUGAGCAUCCGGGAUCGGACAUUGUGGAGCUGCGGCUAAAUAGACCGUUUUUGCCUGUCCGUUGUGUCCGUUGAGUGACCUGGCGAGCUCAUCAUAGAACUGCGCACCACCCGCCUCAAUGUCGAAAUCAACGCCGUCCAAAACCGCGUCCCCAAGCGGGCGCGAAGCGGACUGACCACCUAAGAAGUUGUUCCAGAUGUAAUCAGCAACUUGCCUUGCAUCAUCAGCUGAAGUGAGAGAGUAACUUCCGGCGGCCCCUCCAAUCGAGAGGAGGACUUUUAUGUUUUUUGAUUGGCAGGUUCUGAUGUCGGCACUCAGCCCCGUGCAAGUACCACUAGAGGGGUCGCAGUGGCCGGCGAGGUUUAGGACAGGGGUUUGGUUGUUUCCGAAAGUAGUGAGGAAAGCUAUGUUAACAAACUGGUAGUUGCCUGAGUUGCAAGCAUCUGCUAGGGUUCCUUCAUUGCCGUUUUGGCCCCAAUACGUCGCGAUUCCGGCGGCUUGGGAGGACUUGCAUGAAGAAAUGAGGAUCAAGAGGGACAGCGUUAGGGCUAGGGUUUGUGUUUUGGAUGCCAUUUUUGUAUGUUUUUUUGGGUUGUUGUUCAAAGUGCUUGGGAGUGGACUUGUACUUAUAGGUGCAGGGGACUUAUCCGUUAAGGUUUAGGGGAAGAAAAGUAUGACAGACGUGUUCUGCGGGUUAGAAAUGGGUGCCAGUCUUCAGCUUGGAACCUCGUCAAUCAAGUUAGCUAGGGCCUGUUUAGUCCAAGAAGUUUCACAUAAAACGCCGAUUAAGUUAGGUCGGGUUGGAAAUGCUUUCUUCAAAAACUACUUACACACGUAAGCGCUUCUUAUAUUUUUCAUAAGAAUGCAAGUGCUUUUGAAAAAAAACACUUGAGCUGUUUCGUGUGUUUUUUUCAGAAAAUACUUUAAAUGUUUUUUCAAACUAAAAAUCCAUUAAAGCUCCUUUACUUGUUUAAGGGCACUUCCAAAAUCAUAUUUAAAGAAAAAUUACUUCUAGAGAGAAUUAUAACAUGCUAAUUGAGAGAUCCCGAAACUAGAAACUAGAUAGUUAUAAUGAAGCGUGACCUUAACUGCUUAAUUAAGUGAAAAAAGCCAUCAAAUUUGACAAAAAGUCUGAUGAAAGGUCAUAGCUGUAUCAUCUGUAGAUGAGAUAAUCAUGAAACAAUGUGGGGAAUCAACACAUCCUUAUCAUCGUCAAAAAAAAAAAUUCACUGUGCUGGAAGCACGUUCAAUUGAACGUUUUGGAAGUUUGUGGAUAGAAACCAAAUGGAAUAUGCUUGUAACCAAAAUUGCUGGCUGCUAUAUACAUCUUGGAUUUUAGCUGAGGUGGCCAUUGGCCAAGGACUUUGGUCUAAUCACGAUGCUUUAAUUUCGCAAUCCAAAAAAAAAAUUCAGAUAAAAUUUAGAACACGUUUUGGGAGUGCUUUCAAAUUACUGAAAGCGAUUUUAGAAAGAAAAAAAAUGUUUAUAUAACUAAUCUUUAAUAAAAAUGCAAGUUAAUCCUCCAAAAGUACUGAAACUAGUGCUUCUUUGAUAAAACACUUCAAGUGCUUUUGGAGCUCAAAAAUAUUAUCUCAAGUGGUUUCAGUCAUUUAAAAACACUUUCUAAACGAGUUAAUGACUCGUGUAUGGGGCAACAUUUAGCAAGUAACGGCUCUCAUGAAUUGGAUUGUGGUGAUGUGAAAAUGGGUUUGGGUAAGUUUAGUUUAGACCAGUCAGCAGUGUUUAAAAUAUCCACGACAUUAUCGAUAUUUUCGUUGAAAUAUCCUUAAAAUUAAGGGUCCAUAAGCAAAAGAAGGAUGAAAUGCAAACUUCACCCUAUAUCGGCAAGAUACAAGAAAACAAUGAAUAUAGACAAUAUGUAACAACUCGUCCCAAGAUUUACUGUAUAUAAAUGGUAUUUUUGUAUUUUCAUCAAGUUUGGGAAUUUAUCUUCCUUUUAAAAUUUGUUUUUGGUCUUAAAUGGUGAUCCAAGGGGACCCACUCCCCUGAUUUUGUCCCCGAGCCCUCUUCUCUCUUUCUUCCUCUCCUCUUCCCUUUCCCCUUUCCCGUAUACUUCUAUUCCUCUCUUCUCUAUGAUCACACUCACACCCAGCUGCACUCCCUGCUCGAGGAAGACGCAAUCACCAUCUAAACCACGUCCCUUUCCUCUUCCUCUUGCCUCUGUGCAACUCGGCGAAACCAAGAAAAUAACCUCCGGCAAGUCCGACGGCUUUCGAAGCCAUUUCCUGCCAAACCACGGCGCGUUGGCCGGCGUGCAAGGUAUCAAUCUCUUCGUCCCGUCAAGUACUAUAACUUUUCUUUUUGUUUCACUCAAUUUAAUUGAGUAUUGAAGAAGUUAUACUCAUUUGAAUCUUACCCAGUUUCCGGCGACCUCCGAGGCUUUCGAGGAAAUUUCAGGCCAAACCAUGGCGAGUCAGACGUGAGGUAUCAUUCUCUUCGUCUCUUCCAGGACUACAACUUUCGUUUUUGUCUCGCUUGAUUUCGUUGAGUAGUGACAAAGUUAUGGCUGUUUAAAGUGGGGUGGUUUUCCGGCCGAAUUUCCGGCCUUCUUCUUCCUUGGCAACAGGCCACCCGGCCUUUCCCUCUCCCUCGGACCUUAGGCCCGUGUUGUCUUAAGCCCAAAACCCUAGCCUUUAGUUUUAAGUUUUAUUAUUUGGUUUUAAAACCCUAAAAAGGGCCUUGGGCCGGUGGUUUUUAAAAAGGGCUUAAAGCCCUGUUUUUCUUUAUUUAUUUUUAUUAAGGCCUUAAGGCCUUGUGAUUUUGUGCCCGUGGGUGUGUGUGUUAGGUGUGUAUGUGUUUAUGCAUGCACAUGCAUGCCGUGUGUGUGUGUGUAUUUGUAGUAUGUGUGUGUUUGGGCUAAAGCCCAAACCCCAAUUCUCACCCUAAAACCAUUUUAACCCAAAAUCCUAGGUUCCUAAAAUCCUUUAAAACCCUAAACCCAUCCAAUCCCAAAUCCCCUAUUUUAUUUAAACCUAAACCCUAAUCCGGAUUUCAAGCCUAAAACCCAUUUGACCGUUGACCCCCGGUCAACGUUGAUUUUAGGGUUGACUUUUCGGGUUUUCGUCCGGGACCCUUCUUAGGGUAAUUCGACGUUCUAAAUCCGUUUCCAAUGUCCAUUUUCCCAAAUUCAAUUGUUAUUAUAUAGUUUUAUUUAUUGGACUCUUUAUGUGCUUAGGGGCAAUUAUUGUGACGUUUCCAUCUUCGCUAGUGGCACAGCUUUUGGCAACUAAGUAUUGUGAGUGGACCCCUUCUAGAAUUACAUGAUUUGAUAAUUUAAUUGCAUAAAUGAUUAGCAUGCCUACGAAUUUAUGAUUUGAUUUAUGUGAAGCCUGAUGAUUUAAUAUAUUGAUUAUCGUCUCGGGUUUUGGUGAGGAAUUAUUUGUUAGCCUAUAUUGAGCUAUAUUUUAAUAUAUCGUAUUUUCUAUUAAAACCAUGAACUGGUAGACUAUCUGAUAGAUGACGAUAGGAUGCUAGAACAUGUUUUUGAACCCCUCUUUAUAGUGUAGACGAUGAUCGGUAACCUAUGCUAUGAAGUGGUUUUUUUUAGAGAGACGUAACUAUUUGUGCGUACCUAGUAGACACUAUGCCGCCUGGGGCAAGGAACUGGUGUUGGCAUUUAGGCCGGGAGAAAUAAUCCCUAGCGAAAGGCUGAGGGACACGGAGACAGGCAGUGGGCCAAGAGGGAGUUAUCUCUGGCUACGGGCACAGAGACUGAGGUGCAAGCAUUGGGCCGGGAGUUAUAUUUAUUCAGUGAUCUUUCUAGCAGCACACUGCGUUUACGAGACGAUUUAUGAUGCGUUUACUGUUUUGAUUUCCGCGAUGUUUUUCCGCGUUAUGGCGUUUGAGAUAUUUUUGGCAUACUAGGAUUUUUAUUAAAUCCAUCACUUAUUAUGCUAGUAGUUUUCAUUUAUAUAAACUUUGGGGGUUAGUAUGUUGAUAAUUGUUUUAUUAUUAUUGUAUAUAUAAACUUGGUCCACUCACCUUUGUUUUGCGCCCCCAUUCAGGACUUAGAAUCAAGGCACCUAAUCCCGGCGUGAAGACACUUUCGCAGCAGCAUCUUCGGAUCCUCUCGAUGUAGGACUCACUCCUUUACUCAUUAAAUUUUAUCUUAAUUCUUUUUAGUGAUUAGAUUUAGUUGUAUGCUCUGAGCACGUUCCUAAAACUUUUAACUCUUAGUUUUUAAAUUCAUAACACUUACUUAUUUCUUAUUCUUAGCUUUUGUAUCAAUUAAUGGCUUUCGUCACCCUCGGGUGUCGGCCAGCAUGUGUCUUCCUGGUAUUCGGGGAAUAUCAGGGUCGGGGCGUGUCACAAUAUUUACGGAUUAAUUACAAAAUUUUGCUAAUACCUAUUGCAGAUUUCGAACUGUAGAAUUUUUUUUAUAAAUUUUUUCUUUAAUUUCAACUAAAUCUGAAUGAGUACUUACCCCAUUGUAAAUUUCCAUCGAAGACUUUCCAACUAUAUCGAUAUUUUAAACACUGGUUUAGACCAACAUGUUUAAUAUCCAGUGCAUGCAAAUAGAAUGUCAAAUCUUUUUGAAAAACUUCAGUAUGACUGCCACUUAAGGGCAACUAGCAUAUUAAAGAGACCAAUGCAAAGUUGGAUGAGACUAAAAUACAUAAAGUCUCAUGUUUUGGUGAGAUGUGGUUUACAAAUGAUAUAGCAUGUGCCCUACGAAAAACGAGAUCGGAUUACCUAAUUGAAGUUUCUCUAGCAUGAAAAAUUCAAGAGGGAUGUGACGGUUCCGGAAAGUAAAAAAUCACACAUUUUUAUUAAUAAUUUUUUUGUUCGAAUUCGGAAAUGUAUAGAACUGAACAAAUGGAAUAGUGGCUCAGUGAUACCAACAAUUUCAUGUUGCAAAUUACAAAAAAAAAAAAAAAAAAAAAAAAAAAAGGAAAUGUUUUACACAAAAUUAAUGACAAUUAGAGUUAAACAACAGAAACUUGCACUUUAAAUGGUUUUUUUCUGCUGCUUUUGGUAUGUAUAUGCUUUUUCCGCACCGCUGGCUACUGUAUUCUCGGUAAUUUUCAUCGUCAUCCCAGCUGCGUUGCGAGCAUGAACGUUUGAUUCCUGUCAUUGGGGUUUCACAUACUCUGUCAUCACAUGAACCUCCAUGAUCCUUCCUUUUAAACAGCUUUCGAAGUGGAUUUGACUUUGGUUUCAAUGGUUUCAGCUGUUUUGGGGCCCAAAUUCUCUGCAGAUCGGGCAUCCAUCUUGUGGAGUAAGCGAACCUCCGAGCCCUCUCUCUCCUCUCUUGAACUUCAAGUAACUUGCGAGCAUGGUCGUCCUUUUGUUUGAUCUCUUCAGCGCUCGGUCUUCCAAUAUCAGUUUUCAGCGGACGAAGAGACUCACCUACUGCUGGUAAUGAAUCCCAGAUUCUAUAACUUCCAUCCACUUCGACACUCUUCGGUUUUUCUUUACAGGAUCGAUUGCUAUCCUAACUGUUGAGUAAACUAUUAGGGAGUUCUUCCUCAUCAGCAAACAGCAACAAAUCCAUUUUCUUAUAGAUUUUGCGAACCACAUCUUCAAGUGUCUCACAGUACCUGAAAAAUUCCAAAUUCAAAGAUUAAUCUAUCUGCUUAAGUUAAUUUUCCAUCUCAAACAAAAAUUGAUUGCCCGCACAUGUACUUCCGGAAAACUAAUUCCAGGAACGGAUUAUUUAAGCAACAUCGUUUCUUCAAGGAUCAUACUGUAGACAUACACUAUUGGCACAUUGCAAAAGUUGUAUAAACAUAUUCCACACUCGUUCAGAAAAACAUGGGUACGAUGUGCGCAUAACUGGCCUAUAUCCUGUCAAUCUACACUGAUAAGGAAAGACACUUUAACUCAUCUAAGAUUAUAAAGACAACCACUUUCCUUAUUUAGCAUUGUUGCAAAGGUAAGUAGGACAUGAUUUGUUAGAUAGGUAGUAAUAUCCCACAUGAAAGUGGAACACAGUGGCACCGGAAAUGUGUAUUUGUUGAGACAUGAACGAUAGACUGAAUGCAGCGUGUGCUAUAUAGCCUUUCAGCGAAAGCCAUAAUGCCUCAGUAAAACAUCCAUUAUAUAAAGUAAAGAAUAAUUUCAAGGGUAGGGGUUUUCAACUGUGGUACAGAUUUAUUACCUGCUUUUUAUGAUCUUUUCAACAUAAUCAUACACUCCAGUCACCAAAGAAGCCCUCCAGAUGACAUCGAAUUUUCUCCAAAAAGGAGCAAAUCUGUUUUACAGACUUCUGUUUUGUAGAUUCAGCAAUACGUGCACCAACCUCUGAUUGUAGUAUCUCCAUCCGGAAAAAUAUCUGCAAUUCAUAUCGUGCACGAGCUGGCGCAAGGAGGCGGCGAAGCACGAAGCCCGGGGCGGCGAUGCCGGGUCGAGGCGAAAUGCGGGGAGGGAAUUGAGGGUUUGGGAGAGGGAAUUGAAAGUGGGGCCGGGGAGGUGGAAAGAGAGGGAGAGAGAAGUGGGGAGCUUGGAGGAGGAGAGCAGCGGAGAGAGGGAGGAGAAGAAGGGUCUGAAGGCGAAGAGAGAGGCGGAGAGAGGAGGGAAAGAGAGGAUGGUUUUGACGGCGGCGAGGAAGGCUGUGAGAAAUGGAGCUGGGUUUUGGAGGUGGAGGAGUGGGUUGAGGCCUAGGAGGAGGACGAUGCGCUGCGUUUUGCCGUAGUCGGCGAUUGGGUCGCCGGAGCUCCGUUCAGAUGCCAUCGCAUUUGCAGGAGGAGAAAGAGACGGACUUGGGUUGCAGAGAAGGGAGAUGCAAAUGUGGAAUUAAGGAACAGUAAACCGAAUACGCAGUCGUUUUAGUAGAAAAACGACGAUACGGUAGAUGCUUGAGCGGGAAACCAAAUUUUGGCUGUAAAGGAAAUGUUUUAGGCCCCGUUUGGGAUUGAGGUGAUUUUAAAAAAAGCCACUGUGAAAAAAAGCUGAGGGUCAUUUUUGUGUUUGGUAAACUGAAAAAAGGGCUUAUUUUGGAAGCUGCUGUGAAAAUAAGCUGAAAAUCAAAGGAAAAGCUGAAGCUGCUAUUUGCUGCUUUGAAAAAAAGCCAGUUUUUUCAAAGCACACAGAGCUACAAUGCUCCUUUAAUGAAAAGACACACUAUCAUCCUGAUUUUUUUUCCAAAAGCACUUUCACAAAAAAGUUUACCAAACACUCUACUGCUUUAUUUCACAGCCGCUUAUUCUCACAGCACAGCCGCUUAUUCUCACAGCAGCUUUUUUUCAAAGCACAGCAAUACCAAACCAGCCCUUAAUCUCAUGAAGGACCUGUUUGGACUGCAUCUAAAUUUGUUAAAAGCGCUUUUAGAGAACAAAAGAGCUUUUGACAUCAGUUGAAAAAAAAAAAAUAUUUAAAGUACUUCUUCACGUGAAAAAAACACAUGGUUUUUAAUGAAAAUUCCAACAUGAUUUGAAUGAAAGUGCUUUCAAAAAGUAUUAUGAAUAGAUAUGCUUUUUUAUAUGCUUCUAUGAAAAGUGCUUUUUGCAAACAAUGUCGGGCUCGUUUGUAAUUACUUUUAAAAUGGUUGAAAGUGUAUUUCGUAAAAAUAUUUUUAGAAACAAUAUUUAGUAAAAUGCAAGUGAAUCCUAAAAAAAACACUUCAAGAAUAGAACAACCAAAGGGGCGAAAACUGUAAACCUCAUAGCAACCGAAUUACAAUUCGAGAACAUACCCGUUACUGAAUCCCAAAUCGCUGGUUCCCAAGUGUAGUCAUGCACAAGCUCGUUUAGAACCAAUAUUUUCUCUAAGAACGAUUUCAAUCAUUUGAAAAACAUUUUUAAACGAACUGAUGUUUUUAGGAGAAACACAAUGAGGAGCAAAUGAUUCCUAGGCGAGAAGAAAAACUAGACAGAAUGUUAAAUAGCACAUUAUGUACCAAUUUUUCUUCAACAAAUUGGAACUACUGAGAAGUUUGGAAACUAAAAAGUAAAGAUUGAUUCUAAGGAUUCUAACCCUGAUGAUUGCUUAUACAGUCGAACUACUUGAAUAGACUGGACUACCGAAGAUAAACUCAUACAUAUACGAAUUAUUAAAAAGUGAAAGAGGCUCAUCUCAGUUUUUUUUUUUUUUUUUAGUUGAAAGAAAAAAAAGGUAAAACAUGGAGAAGAUCAUGAACAGUAAUGGGUUUUAGUAUAUAUAAAUAUAAUUUGUAACUGUAUCUGUCCAAAUAUGCCGUGCAAGUUCUAUUCAUUAGCAGGUACUUUGAUUGCCAUGCAGUAAGAGCAUACAACGGAGAUUGGCUUUGUAUCAAGGCGUACGUCCCAUACACCUCUUUUAUGGGUGAUGCUGUCCACACACUUCUUUUAAUUACCAGUCGUCAUAUAGAAUGAAUUCAAGAGGAUCAAAUGACUAAAAUUAACAGAGAAUAUGUAAAAGAUAAACCAGAGUGUAUGGAUAACACCACCCUAUCUUAUUAGGAUAAUAACAUCCGAUGUGUUUGAUAUAAUCUUUUAGGGACUAACCAAAACAUUGAGUUACAAAAGUCAAACACUUCCGAUGAUGGAAGAACUAUAUCCACUUCUAUCGUCACAAAACUUGGACAAUAACAUCACACCACCAUACUUUGACGACUUCUUUAUCACCGGCAGAAUUUCCGAAUUCAACAAAGCAGCCGGAACAUACCCACUCUUGGCCGCCUUAGGAGCCGCCAGCAACCCCAAAAACAUCUUCCCUGUCUAAUACAAUGAUGUCACUUGGCGUCUUAACAAGAUGGGAGACUUUGGAGGGACUUUAUUGAGUACUCCAGAGUACUCAGUACUCUCAUUUGUUUAAAAAUAUAAAAAUCAAAAUCUAACGAUUAAAACAUCUAGAGUAUCCAUAUAUAGUACUGCUCAAAACUUUUUGAGACAUUGGACGUGAUCCCUCCUAGAAAUUAUUAAGUUAUACAGUAGUACACUUCAGCCGUGAUACUUUCAUUCAAAGGCUAGCUUUAUACUAAUAUGUGAUACUUUCAUUCCAUAUUUGAGAGCCAUUGGAUAAGUAUAAAGCUAACCUUUACAAUAUGAGCUAGUUAGUUAGCCUUCACACACACAGUGCCUGCCUAUCAUGUAACCAUUGACAAUGAUACCCGACAAUUUAUUUGGAGAGAGGGUCCUCACUCAUUUAUUUGGACCUAUAACUUCAUUUCAUAAUAACUCCAUCACAUCAUUUUAUGUACCAUAGUUUAUUCAAUUUCAAAAAUUAGUACACGCAAUAACAUGUUUUAUCGUAAAAUAUACGAGGUUUUUUAGUAUAUUAGAAAUACGAGAUGAUGCACCACAUGUCAUUAUAUAAAUGAAGAGAAAUUUUUUUUUUUUUUAAAUGUGCCUCCACUUAUAUAAUGUAUUGUACCACCCAAAUUCUGAAUAAGUGAAAGAUCUCUCCAAAAAAUACAUAUGCAUGUUUUAUUCAAAAGGUAAGGAAUGAUGCGUCAUCAUCCCUAACACACUUUAUUAUAGUAGUAGCAUCAAUUGAGGCAGAGAAGUUAAUUAGAUGCUGUCCUUAAUGGAUGCACUAUAACCGUUGUCAUAGAACCUGCUCCAAAGCAUAACUCCUCCGUACUUGGGCGAAUUCUUAAUCGUUGGAAGAACUUGUGACUUGAGAGCGUCAGCAGGAAUAAAUCCGCCGCUUGGAGCGGCCUCAGGAGCUGCCGGUAACCCCAUGAACACCUGGGUGGCCGGAACCGAGGCCCAUUGGUUCCAACUGCUUAAAAGAGCGUCGGCAUUACCGUCUGCAUACUGGCAUGGGGGGUUGUUGUAGAACUGAACCCAAACGUAGUCAAAUAAACCGGUUUGGAUAGCGGCGUCCAGGUGAGCAUCCGGGAUCGGACAUUGUGGAGCUGCGGCUAAAUAGACCGUUUUUGCCUGUGCGUUGUGUCCGUUGAGUGACCUGGCGAGCUCAUCAUAGAACUGCGCACCACCCGCCUCAAUGUCGAAAUCAACGCCGUCCAAAACCGCGUCCCCAAGCGGGCGCGAAGCGGACUGACCACCUAAGAAGUUGUUCCAGAUGUAAUCAGCAACUUGCCUUGCAUCAUCAGCUGAAGUGAGAGAGUAACUUCCGGCGCCCCCUCCAAUCGAGAGGAGGACUUUUAUGUUUUUUGAUUGGCAGGUUCUGAUGUCAGCACUCAGCCCCGUGCAAGUACCACUAGGGGGGUCGCAGUGGCCGGCGAGGUUUAGGACAGGGGUUUGGUUGUUUCCGAAAGUAGUGAGGAAAGCUAUGUUAACAAACUGGUAGUUGCCUGAGUUGCAAGCAUCUGCUAGGGUUCCUUCGUUGCCGUUUUGGCCCCAAUAGAUCGCAAUUCCGGCGGCUUGGGAGGACUUGCAUGAAGAAAUGAGGAUCAAGAGGGACAGAGUUAGGGUUAGGGUUUGUGUUUUGGAUGCCAUUUUUGUAUGUGUUUUUUUGGGUUGUUGCUCAAAGUGCUUGGGAGGGGACAUGUACUUAUAGGUGGAGACUUACUGGUUAAGGUUUAGGGGAAGAAAAAUAUGACACACGAGUUCUGCUUGUAAGAAAUGGAUGCCAGUCUUCUGCUUGUCAAUCAAGUUAGCUAGGGCCUGUUUGGUCGAAGUUUCACAUGAAACGUCGAUUAAGUUAGGUCGGGUUGGAAAUGCUUUCUUCAAAAACCACUUACACACGUAAGCUCUUCUUAUAUUUUUCAUAAUAAUGCAAGUGCUUUUGGAAAAAACACGAGAGGUGUUUCGCAUGUGUUUUUUUCAAAAAGCACUUCAAAUAUUUUUUCUACCUAAAAAUCCAUUAAAGCUCCUUUACUUGUUUUAAAGAAACUUCCAAAAUAAUAUUUAAAGAAAAAUUACUUCUAGAGAGAAUUAUAACAUGCUAAUUGAGAGAUCCCGAAACUAGAAACUAGAUGGUUAUAGUGAAGCGUGACCUUAACUGCUUAAUUAGGUGAAAAAAGCCAUCAAAUUUGACAAAAAGUCUGAUGAAAGGUCAUAGCUGUAUGCAUAAUCCGUAGAUGAGAUAAUCAUGAAACAAUACGUGGGGAAUCAACACAGCCUUAUCAUCGUCAAAAAAUUUUAGUGUUCUAGAAACACGAUCUGAUAUACAAAAUGUUUUAACAUCAAUUGAACGUUUUGGAAAUUUGUGGAUAGAAACCAAAUGGAAUAUGCUUGCUAGCUGCUAUAUACAUCUUGGAUUUUAGCUGAGGUGGCCAUUGGCCAAGGACUGCGAUCUAAUCACGAUGCUUUAAUUUCGCAGUACGAAAAAAAUUUCAGAUAAAAUUUAGAACAUGUUUAGGGAGUGCUUUCAAAUCACUGAAAGCGAUUUUAGAAAGAAAAAAAAUGUUUAUACAACUAAUUUUUAAUAAAAAUGCAAGUUAAUUCUCUAAAAGUAUUGAAAUUAGUGCUUCUUUGAUGAAUUACUUUAAGUGCUUUUGGAGCUCAAAAAUAUUUUCUCAAGUGGUUUCAGUUAUUUAAAAACACUUUCUAAACGAGUUAAUGACUCGUGUAUGGCAACAUUUAGCAAGUAAUAGCUCUCAUGAAUUGGAUUGUGGUGAUGUGAAAAUGGGUUUGGGUAAGUUUAGUUUAGAUCAGUCACCAGUGUAUAAAAUAUCCAUGAAAUUGUCGAUAUUUUCAUCAAAAUAUCCUUAAAAUUUAGGGUCCAUAAGGAAAAGAAGGGUAAAAUAUAAAUUUCAACCUAUAUUGGCGAGAUAUAAGAAAACAAUGAAUAUCGACAAUAUUUACCAAUUAACUACAAAAUGUUGCUAAAACCUAUUGCAGAUUUUGAACUUUAGAAUUUUUUUUUUAUAAAUUUUUUCUUUAAUUUCGACUAAAUCUGAAUGAGUUGAUACUUGAUAUGCUUAUCCCAUUGUAAAUUUCCAUCAAAGACUUUCCAACUAAAUCGAUAUUUUAAACAUUGGUUUAGACCCACAUGUUUAAUAUCCAGUGCAUGCAAAUAGAAUGUCAAAUCUUUCAGAAAAACUUCAGUAGGACUGCCACUUAAGGGCAACUAGCAUAUUAAAGAGACCAAUGCAAGGUUGGAUGAGACUAAAAUACAUAAGAGCAAUUCCACCGGGGACCAAAUGUCCCAGCCUCCAGUCCAAAAACCAAGCCAGGCCUCUGUCAAUCAAGUCCACCCCAACAAACUGACUGGUACCCAGCCCGAGUUGGGCAAGAGCCCAGCCCAAAAGAGACUGAGACAGAAGCCGGGGAAGAAGCCUGGCGCGUGCACUUCACGUAGCCGUUUGGCGAGUGCCCGACAAGCUUUCAGACGCCGGGGCCCGCGUGCAGGCGCUGUCAGUCCCCCCCCCGAGUUGCGACGUGGCUACCUCUCUGCCGUUGGAUUUCCAACGGCUAGUUUUCUAGACCGUUGGAUUUCCAACGGUAAAAAAAUUUUAAAUUUUACUUUUAAACUAGACCGUCGGAUCAAAGAUCAACGGUCCACGUUUUUUUCACAAAAAGUAAAUUAAAAAAAAAAAAAAAGGGCCCAACGGUCAGAAAUAUGACCGUUGGCCACGUGGCAACUCCCUAGCUCUUGGAUUUGAAUAUUUUUCAAAUCCAACGGUCCAGAUUAAUUAACUAUAUUAAAAUUCAUUAAAAAUUAUUAAAAAAUACAGAAAAAUUAUUAAAAAAUACAGAAAAUUUUAAAAAAAUUACAGAAAAUUUUGAAAAAUGUUAAUUUUUUUUCCUAUAAAUACCUAACCCUCAUCUUCUACCUUUACACCACAUUCCAAUAUUUUCUACACUUUCUAUACUAUCUACAUUUCAAAAUAUUUUCUACACUUUAAGAGAAAAAAAAUGUCUUCGUGGAAGCUCAUUGAAGAUGUUACGUUGUGUGAAUGUUGGGUUCACACUACUCAUGAUCCGAUUACGGGUAAUGAGAUGGAUAAGCGAGAGAUGUGGAGUAAAAUUACGAAAGCGUUUUGUGAUGUACAUGGAGAAAACGCCAGAACUAGUCAAGGUCUUCAAGGUCGUUGGAAAAAACUCAAUGCAUCAUUUACUUGUUGGAAAAACGCCAUCUCUCAUGCUUCCGGUAACCUCCGUAGUGGGACAAGUUUAGCGGAUCAGGUGACAAUAUUUUUUAUUUAUUUAUAUGCAUUCCACUCACAUUAAUAUUUUGAUUUAUUUAAUUUCGUAUGUAAUUUUUAUCUUAUUUCUUAUGUAAUUUUUAUUUAAUUUCUUAUGUAAUUUUUAUUUAAUUUCUUAUGUCAUUUUUAUGUAAUUUAUAUGCAUUCCACCCGUAUUAAUAUUUUGAAUUUAUUUAUUUGUGUUACACCCGCAUUUUUUAACACUAUGUUAUCCCACUUUUUUAUAGACACUACAAGCUCAAGCAUUCUACAAUUCAAAGAACGGGAACAAAUCAUUCAAUAGAUUGGAAUGUUGGCAAAUUGUCAAAGAUUGCCCUAAAUACAAAAUUGUGGCAACUGGUCCAGAAGUUGUCAUGCACGGUAUGGGUCUACAUAGUUCUCCAGAACCAGACAUGGCCGAACAAGAAGCCGACACAUUUCAAGACACGGAAGGGACGGCUGAACAAGUGCCCGAGACCCAACCGACUCGUCAGUCCCUAAGGCCUCUAGGUAAAAAGGCGUCAAAGAAAAAAGGUAGUUCUUCCAAAAAAUGACUACACUAAAUAUAUGGAGGAACUUGCUCGCCAAGGUGAACUAAACUUGGCACGAGAAAAGGCUAGAGAUGAGGAAAAAGUUGCUGCUAUGGCAGCAAUAUUAGCAGCUACUGAGGCCCGUGAUGCGGCGGCUGAAAGACAAAGAGAAGUAGUUAAUCGAGAGAACGAGCUGGUUAGAGAAGCACUUCAUCGAGAAAAUGAAUUGCUUCGAGAAGAAAGGAUGGCUCAAGCAUCGUGAUCGUGACACUAUGAGCAAGUCUCUAGUAGGACUGUCUCCGAAUUCUAAAUAUUUUUUAGACAUCGGAAAAAGAGAUGCCAUGCGUAGGAGGCGUGCAAGAGAUGCGGAAACAAGUCAAGGGGGUUCUAGCUACACAAAUCAUGGCAACCAAGAUCCUAGCACCACAUAUCCUAACUCGAGAGACUUUAUUUAAUUUCUUAUGUAUUUUUAUGUAUUUUCUUUCUUUUUUCUAGUAGAACUUUAUUUAAUUUCUUAUGUUUUUUCUUUUUUUUAGGUUUGAACUUUAUUUAUUUUCUUAUGCAAUUUUAAUGUAAUUAUUUAUUUAAUUUCUUUUGUACUUUAUUUAAAACACAUGAAAUAAGAUUACACAUAAACUCACCAAAUAAAUUUAAAAACAAAACACAUUACAUAGAAUUACAUAAACUCACCAAAUAAACUUAAAAACAAAACACACUACAUAGAAUUACAUAAACUCACCAAAUAAACUUAAAAACAAAACACACUACAUAGAAUUACUUAAACUUAAAAAAAAAUACAAUUUAUUCUUCAACCACAAGCCUCAUUCUAAUUAUCUUCGCCUCCAUGCAAUCCCCACUGGUGCUCAAUCAAGUCAUUCUGGCGGGUUACGUGCCAGUAUGGCUCUUGCACAUUAGUGUACCGCUGAACGAUCAAUUCAUUGUAACGUCCAUCACGUUCCAACGGCUCGUGUUGCACUGGAUCUUCGGUCCCAUCAUGAGCACAAUAAAUACGUGUUCUUGAGUUGUUCAUCGGAUCUGGCUCAUAUUCAUCGACGGCAUCAUAAUCAUACUCAUCUUCAACAAUCAUGUUAUGGAGAAUAAUACACGUCAUCAUGAUGGAUCGAAGAGCCUCGACAUCAAACAUUCUAGCUGCAGCCCUGACAAUCGCCCAACGAGCUUGCAGGAUACCAAAACAACGCUCGACAUCCUUCCUACACCCUUCUUGACAUUUUGCAAAGUGUUUUUCCUUUUCAGUCUGUGGAUGUGGCACUGUUUUGACAAAUGUUGACCACCUUGGGUAAAUGCCAUCUGCAAGGUAGUAUGAUCCCUCGUAUUGGGUACCAUUAACCCAAUAUGUGCAUCUCGGCGAGUUUCCUUGCAGCAGUUCGUCGAACACUGGGGAUUGGGCAAGGACAUUUAGGUCAUUUUGAGCUCCUGGAACACCAAAAAAAGCAUGCCAAAUCCAUGUAUCAAAUGAAGCCACCGCUUCCAAAAUGAUGCUUUUGGCUCCUUUUCUGUCGCCAUAUGCUCCUUGCCACGCACUUGGACAGUUUUUUCCAAGUCCAGUGCAUGCAGUCGAUGCUUCCAAUCAUGCCAGGGAAGCCUCGCAUCUCACCCUUCCUCAGAAGCCUUCGCAUGUCCCUUGACGUGGGUGUCCGGAGGUACUCUUUGGUGUAGAGGGCUUCAAUUGCAGAGCAAAACCGCAUCAGGGACUCCAGAACAGUUGUUUUUCCCAUCCUCGCGAUCUCAUCCACUUGAUCUGCAGAUGCUCCAUAUGCAAGCAUUCGCAAGGAUGCCGUAAUUUUUUGCUCGGGAAUAAGACCUAGAACAUGAAAAGCAUCCUCUUUUUGCACAAAGUAUGAAUCAUUGUUGCAAAUAUCACUCAUGAUUUUGUUGAACAAAUGUCGUUGCAUUCUAAAACGCCGUCUAAACAUGAUCAGGGAAUAUGCUAUUGGGAAUAAAAUAGUCUUCCAAUAGAUUUUUACCUCGUUUUUCCCUUUUUCUAUCGAGGUUUGCAACACGUCUUGGUUUGGCUAUCUGACCCACGGCUUCCAUGACACGGCGGGAAUGUGAGGCCUUCUGCCUUCUAUGGUGAUCAUCCUCAUCCUCCUCCAUGAAGAAAGCCUCAUCUCCACCUCCACCUUCCUCGAGAUUGGCCAAUUCUGCCUGUUGUGCCAACAACCUUUGUUGUUGCUCUUGCAACUGCUUAUACACCCUUCUUGAAGAAGACAUUGUAAUAAGAACUCAAGAUUUGAAAAUGAUGAACAAGGAUUCUGAGCUAAAAAGAAGGAUUGAGCUUGGUGUGAGGAUGGAUGUAGGGAUGUAGGGUUUAUAUGGACAAAAAAAGAAAGGAUGAGGUUCUGGACAAUGCCACGUGGCACUACGUGAUUGGUUGAAAAUCUUAUCGAAAUCUUGGCUAAAUUAUUGUAAACCGGAAGUGACACGUGGCGUGUCAGGAUUGGUCGAGAAUAUUAUCGAAAAUCUAUCCACAAAAUAGUACGUUCGGAUAAUGACACGUGGCAUGACGUGAUUGGUUGAAAAUCUUAUCGAAAUCUUGGCUAAAUUAUUGUACCAUGGAAGUGACACGUGGCGUGUCGGGAUUGGUUGAAAAUAAUAUCGGAAAUCUAUUCACAAAAUAGUACGUUCAGAUAAUGACACGUGGCGUGACGAGAUUGGUUAAAAAUCCUAUCCGAAAUUAAAACUAUUUUAUUUUUUUAUUCUUUAUUUUAAAUGGGUUAAAAAUCUUAUCCGAAAUAAACUUAAAAAAAAAACACACCAAAUAAAUGCGCUGGGUGCUAGCGCAUUUUUUUAGGGGUGGAGAUGCCUUGGCCUAUUACUGUUCACUCCAGUCUAUUACUGUUCAUUUGAGUGGAUAAAUGCGCUGGGUGCUGGCGCAAAGUCCACAGGGGUGGAAUUGCUCUAAAGUCUCGUGUUUUGAUGAGAUGUGGUCUACAAAUGAUAUAGCAUGUGCCCUACGAAAAAUGAGAUCGGAUUACCUAUUUGAAGCUUCUCUAGUAUGAAAAAUUCAAGAGGGAUGUGACGGGUCCGGAAAAUAAAAAAUCACACAUUUUUAUUAAUAAUUUUUUUGUUCGAAUUCGGAAAUGUAUAGAACUGAACAAAUGGAAUAGUAGCUCAGUGAUACCAACAAUUUCAUGUUGCAAAUCACAAAACAAAAAAAAAGGAACUGUUUUACACAAAAUUAAUGACAAUUAGAGUUGAACAACAGAAGCUUGCACUUUAAACGGUUUUUUUCUGCUGCUUUUGGUAUGUAUAUGCUUUUUCCAUGUCUCGAUGUAGUGCCAGUUCACAGGUCAUCAUCCUGGAACAAUGCUUUCGAAACAGAGCCGCACGGCUGGCUACUGUAUUCUCGGUAAUCUUCAUCGUCAUCCCAGCUGCGUUGCGAGCAUGAACGUUUGAUUCCUGUCAUUGGGGUUUCACAUACUCUGUCAUCACAUGAACCUCUAUGAUCCUUCCUUUUAAACAGCUUUCGAAGCGGAUUUAACUUUGGUUUCAAUGGUUUCAGCUGUUUUGGGGCCCAAACUCUCUGCAGAUCGGGCAUCCAUCUUGUGGAUGAAGCGAAUCUCCAAGCCCUCUCUCUCCUCUCUUGAGCUUCAAGUAACUUGCGAGCAUGGUCGUCGUUUUGUUUGAUCUCUUCAGCGCUCGGUCUUCCAAUAUCAGUUUUCAGCGGACGAAGAGACUCACCUUCUGCUGAUAAUGAGUCCCAGAUUCUAUAACUUUCAUCCACUUCGACACUCUUUGGUUUUUCUUUACAGGAUUGAUUGCUAUCCUCACUGUUGAGUAAACUAAUAGGGAGUUCUUCCUCAUCGGCAAACAGUAGCAAAUCCAUUUUUGUAUAGAUUUUGUGAACCACAUCUUCAAGUGUCUCACAGUACCUGAAAAUGUCCAAAUUCAAAGAUUAAUCUACCUGCUUAAUUCUCCAUCUCAAACAAAAAUUGAUCACCUGCAUUUGUACAUCAGGAAACUAAAUGCAGGAAUGAAUUAUUUAAGCUCCAUCAUUUCAAGGAUCAUACCGUAGGCUAAUAUGCUAUUGCAGAAGUUGUAUAAACAUAUUCCUCACUCGUUCAGAAAAACAUGCCUACGAUGUGCGGAUAACUGGCUUAUACCCUGUAAAUCUACACUAAUAAGGAAACACACUUAACUCAUCUAAGAUUAUAAAGAUAAUCACUUUCCUUUUUUAGCAUUAUUGCAAAGGUAAGUAGGAGAGCAUUGGAUGGGCAGUAAUAUCCCACAGGAAAGUGGAAACAGUGGCACCGGAAAUGUGUAUUUGAUGAGACAUGAACGGUAGACUGAAUGAGUGUCGAGAAAGCCAUAACGACUCGGUAAAACAUCCAUUAUAUAAAGUAAAGAAUAAUGCGAAAGGCAGGGGUUUUCAACUCUGGUACAGAUUUAUUACCUGCUUUUUAUGAUCCUUUCAACAUAAUCAUCUACACUCCAGUCACCAAAGAAGCCCUCCAGAUGACAUCGAAUUUUCUCCAAAAACGAGCAAAUCUGUUUUACAAACUUCUGUUUCAUAGAUUCUGCAAUACUUGCACCAACCUCUGAUUGUAGUAUCUCCAUACGGAAAAAUAUCUGCAAUUCAUAUCUAGUACUAGGUGAAGGAAAAGUGUAAAUGUAAUUGGAGACAAAUUUUCAUAUUGGUAGAGUUAUAACUGGAUUAAUGCAUAAUACAGAAGACAGUUCAGUUAUAAAUGAGAAAGGAUACUCUCGAACUAUUUUUCCAGAAGUCAGUCCUUCAGAUUCUGAAUCGGAUGCUUUAACAAACGGGCCGGAGCUUUUCUGCCUUGCAGUGAUAUCCUUGGGAUCUCUCAGUAGAAGUUUUAACACCUCAGCAGAAACCAAAUCAUCAGUAGCACCAGAUUUUACAAGGGAAGUUUGACUCUCUGAAAGGGCUUCUGUUUCCUGCUUUUUAUUUAACCAAUAUAUGGAUGAAUUCACAAGCCGAUAUGCCAAUGCCCCCAAGUCUACUGCUUCAUAUUCAAGCCCCUGUUGUAUCUUGUUGGAUAGACUACUGAAAAAAUCUUCCGACGUUUCUGAUCUAAAUUCCAAAGCAGCUUCAUCUUGUAUGCCAGAAGCCACAGUCAAAGAAUUUUCUCCAAUGGAAGGAGAUGAAGAAAUUGGCUGUUCACUUUCAUGGUGCAAGUUAUCCAACCUAUUGUCCAUCCCUUUUCUAUUGAGCUGGUCUGCCUGGGAUUCUUUCUCCACUAUUAGACCACGAUCGCUAGACUUCUUAAUUUGUUUCAUCCAGCAUUUCAGAAAUCGUAUCUUUUUUGAGUUAUAACAUUCCCUGGCAAAGUAAACCUCUUCCAAACCUAUCUCUGAGUGUUCAAAUGCUGCCUUGUAGAAGGCACUCCAUGUGAGAUCUUGUAGCAACUGUGAAUUUCUUUUGUUAUUUCUCUUCCUUCCCUCCUUGCCUGCAGAAUGCUUAUUGGAUGGCCCAGUUUGGUCCAAAUCAGCAUUCGGUUCGCAAAUCCCAUUCUUCAUAUUUCGACUUGAUUGGUCUGCUUUUGCUCCACCAAUAUCAUGCACUUUUGUCUGAGGGUGAAAUCCUUCAUCCACAAUAAACAGCCGAGCCGAAGAAACUGUGAAAGGUUUGAGAAUUCCGGUAGACGAUACACCACUGUCACUUGAAAGAGACACUAAUGCUCCAUGACCAUUCCUAUAUAAGAAACUCAAGAGAAUCUGCCAAAUGGGUGCUGACUUUCUCUUUGCAUUCUCACCCAAGUCCACUGCUACCACUUCUAGAACCUUAUCUGCAUAAUAAUUGCCAGAACUUUCUUUUCCAUCUUCACCAGGUUUUCCCAAAACAUCACAGACAAGGACUGGAUCAGAUAAGUGCCCCUUGAAUUUCAGAAACUCAUUGUACUUUUGCAAAGCCUUAACCUGGAACUUUGUCACGCCUUUGACAAAAUACCCCCAGAACAAUUCCUUCAGUUUACCACCCUUUGUUUGUGAAUUCAUGAUUUCUAGGGAAAAGAAAGCAUCAUCAGCUGCAUUUCUAGGCAACUUCUUCAAAUCAACCAAUUGAAGAUCACAAACCUUGCAUUCCAAAGGCUUCCCACUUACAUCUAAGAUCUCGAGACUCAACUGCGCAUUGACUUUCUUAUGACUAUCAUCACAACCGAAAAACUUGGAUGAAAUCCCUAUCUCGGGAUAAAUCAAACCAAAGGAAACAAGAGCAGAGCCAAGAAUAAUCCAACCAGUCGAGCAAAAUCCCCAUCCCAAACUCCUAACCCCACUCUCGAAAAACCCAAAUCUCGUCUUAUCCUCAUCGUUCCCAACCUUACCCUCACCACAUUCUAAUUCAUACCUGACAUCAACCCAGCUACACUGAAUAUCUCUACUCACAAAUGCUUCAUUCACAUUCUCAAAGAAACCCCUAAAUCUCUCGGAAAACGCUUUCACAUUUUCCAAAGACUCGUCACCCACACCCACUGUUAGGUCACAACUUCUAAAUUCCCUUUCUCGACCUGCUAGUAGCUGAUAGUAAUGGCGGUGAGUGAGUGGGAAGGAAGAUAGAGAGAGAUAGAAAGUUUCUUGUAAUAUUGUUUUUCUAAUUCAAUCCUGCAGAACAAUGCCACAAUUUGGUUCUUAUACAACCAUCCUUCUCACAAUGCCAGCUGGCUACUAACAAUAACGACAUGUAGCUAAAUAGUUUUCCACUAUUAUUCUAACCACUAUUAUAAUCAUAACACUACCCCUCCCUUACAAAAUAAACCUUGUCCUCAAGGUUAGAAUUAAAGACUGAAAUCAGGAAAUCUGGCAGCAAACUCGUCAUAAUCCUCCCAUGUAGUUUCGUCCUCUUUGUUGUUCUUCCACUGGAUUAACAACUGAACUCCAGCAGCUUGGCCCUUCUUGUAGACCCUCAUUUGUAGCACCUUGAGUGGUUCGAGUGGUAGCAACCCAUCAUCAGUGACAGUAGGCAAGAAUGGAGUUAUGUGACCUUGUCUCCCAAGUGCUUCUUCAAGCAACUAACAUGAAAGACUGGAUGAAUUUUUGAAUUCUCAGGCAGUUUCAAUCGGUAGGCAACCUUCCCAAUAUUUUCCAAAACCUCAUAAGGACCAUAGUACCGGGGAUGAAGCUUAUGGUAAGCAUGAGAUGACAAAGAUUGCAAUUGAUAGGGAAUUAAUUUCAAAUACACCAAAUCUCCUUCCUCGAAAACCCUCUCACUCCGAUGCUUAUCUGCUUGUGUUUUCAUCCGGUUCUGAGCUACUAGUAAAUUGGUCCUGAGCAUUGCUAAUAUUUUGUCCCUAGUUAGCAGCCCUUGCUCCACUAUAUCCAACUUAGCAGUGCCAAGCUCAUAAGACGCGAUGUGUGGUGGUGGAUAACCAUAGACCACUUCGAAGGGGGUGAACUUUGAGGAAGUGUGGUAGGAAGUGUUAUAGCUCCAUUCUGCCCAUGGAAGCCAGUGGAGCCACUUCUUAGGUUGACAGCUAGUGAAGCAUCGCAAGUAAGUUUCAAGGCACCGAUUCACCACCUCUGUCUGGCCAUCACUCUGUGGAUGGUAACCCGAGCUCAUACACAACUUGGAGCCUUGCAACUUAAAAAAAUUCUUUCCAAAAAACACUCAUGAAAAUGGUGUCCCUGUCACUCACAAUGGUAGAGGGCAUCCCAUGGAGUUUAAACACAUUAUCAACAUAUUCCUGAGCUACCAUGCUUGCCGUAUACGGAUGUGCUAAGGGGAUGAAAUGAGCAUACUUGGACAGCCUGUCUACGAUUACCAGGAUCACUGAUUUGCCUUUGCACAGAGGUAAACCAGUGAUGAAAUCCAUGCUUAUAUCCUUCCAUACAUGUGUAGGGAUCGGCAGAGGUUGAAGUAAUCCGGGAGGGGAAAUGGUUUCAUACUUAUUUUGCUGGCAUUCCCGACAUUCAGCCACCCAUGACCUGAGAUCUUUCUUCAUUCCUACCCAAUAGAAGCCCCUCUUCAAUAUCUGAUAAGUCUUUAGAACCCCUUUCAUGGCCUGCACUUGGAGAAGAGUGAUGUUCCUCAAAGACCUUCCUUUUCCAACUUGAAUCUGGGCUAAGCACGAUCCGUCCUUUGUAUUUGAGGAAACCGUUGUCUAAAUGGUACUUGGACAGAUUGGGGUCAAUUGCAGCAGCUUAAGAAUAUGCUAACACCUUCUGCACCUUGCUUUGAAUCCAACUAUCUUGUUCUAACCCUCUCCGAAGUUCAUCUAGCCACCCGAAGUAGGGGUAUGUGAUAGCUUUGCACUCCAAUAAGUCACUGAGAGGUUUCUCUUGUAAUUGAGACGAACCAACUACUCGAGAUAAGGCAUCAGCCAUUAUGUUGUCAUUGCCUUGCCUAUAUUGUAUCUCAUAAUCAAAUCCCAACAACUUGGCCACCCAUUUCUGUUGGAACGGGGUAGUAGUUCUUUGACUCAGAAAGUAUUUCAAGCUGCUAUGAUCUGUCUUUAUGAUGAAAUGGCGCCCUUGAAGGUAGUUUUGCCAUUUUUUGAUAGCACUAACAAUGGCAAUCAACUCUCUUUCGUAUGUAGACAAUGCUUAAUUCCGUGGUCCCAAUGCUUGACUUGUGAAAGCUAUAGGUCUGCCAUUCUGUUGCAACACAGCCCCUAUUCCAUUGCCAGAUGCAUCACAUUCCAAAGUGAAGGGAAUAGCAAAAUUGGGUAAGGCUAAUAGCUGCGGAGAAGUCAUUGUUCUUUUUAAUGCUUGGAAAGCUGCCGUGGCUUCAGGGGACCAAUUGAAACCAUCAUUUUUUGUUAGUUGAUACAAGGGUUGACACACCUUGCCAUAACCGGGGAUGAAUUUUCUAUAAUACCCUGAGAGCCCGAGAAAUCCCCUCAACUCUUUGACAUUUUUCGGUAUCGGCCAAUCUAUAAUUGCUUGAAUUUUAGUAGGAUCUGCAGCCACCCCAUCACGAGAGACGAUGUGCCCCAAGUAUUCCACCUGUGAUUGGCCAAAAGAGCAUUUCGAUUUCUUCACUGCUAAUUGGUGUUUCUGUAAUAACUCCAAAGUUUGGUGCAAGUGUGAAAGAUGGUCCUCCCAGGUCUUGCUGUACACCAAAAUGUCGUCAAAGAACACCAAGAUGAAUUUCCGGAGGUAAGGCUUAAAAAUGUCAUUCAUAAGGGCUUGGAAAGUGGCAGGAGCAUUUGUAAGACCAAAGGGCAUGACUAAGAAUUCAUAAUGCCCUUGGUGAGUUCGGAAGGCAGUCUUUUCCACAUCGGAGGGACAUACGGAUCUGAUGAUAUCCAGACCUAAGAUCAAGCUUAGAAAAAUACUGAGCGCCAUGCAAUUCAUCUAACAAAUCAUCCACUAAUGGAAUAGGAUAUUUAUCCUUAAUGGUAAUGCUGUUCAAUUCACGAUAGUCCAUGCAAAGCCUCCAAGUGCCCUCCUUCUUCUUGACCAAGAGAACUGGAAAUGAAAAGGGACUAUGACUUGGCUGGAUGAAUCCAGCAUCUAAAAGUUCUUGCACAGCUCGUUCAAUCUCAGUUUUUUGCAUAGGACCAUAAUGGUAUGGUCUAAUACUCGGAGGCUUGGAACCAGGAAGCAAUGGAAUCUGGUGAUCAUGAGCCCGUGGAGGUGGUAAGGUAGUAGGAGGCUUAAAAACCGUUUCAAAUUGCCUGAGCAUACCCUGCAGCUCAAUGAGUUGCUGGGGAUUCAAGUUGGAUGCCUCCAACGGAUUAGUUUCCAUUGAAUACAAUAAGACGCCCCAAUUAGAGUAUUUAAACUCUUUUUCAAGCUGUUGACAAACAGUAUCCUGUACCAAGUACGCUGGAGCAGUGGAAUGAACAAGUUUAUAGUGGUCUUUUCCCACAGAAAAUUCCAUGGUUAAGUUGUGAAAAUCCCACAAAACUGGACUCACAGAUGAGAGCCAUUUCACACCCAAUACAACAUCGCAACCCCCUAGAGGAAGUGCGUAGAGGUUAGUGUGGCAGCGAUAUGCACCCAAUUCCAAGGGAAUUUGUUGGCAACAGCCUUGACUUCGGACUUUACCCCCAUCGGCAAUCAUGACAUCGAAGGGUUUGGUGGUGUGACAAGGCCACCCGAGCUGCUUAAGCAACCUAGAAUCCACAAAAUUGUGGGUGCUACCAGAGUCAAGUAGUAUGGUAACAGGUAGAGUGUGAAGCACACCAGCCACUUUCAUGGUUUGUACCGUGGAGGGCUCAGUAGUGCCAUAGAACGCACAAGCACUCAACUCCAUGCUUGAUAGGGAAAGAUCAAUAGGCUCCAGUAAUUCACACUCUGUAGGUUCCAGCAAUUCACACUCGGUAGGCUCCAACUCAUUACAAACAUCAAGCAUAAGGAGCUGUUUAUUAUGGACACAUUUGUGCCCUCGAACCCACUUUUCAUUACAGAACCAACACUCGCCCUUGUCCUUCUUCCGUUGAACUUCCUCGGGGGUAAGUUUCUUAUAAGGGAGGGUUUGAGGAUGAGGCCUGGUAAGGGAAGGUAGAGGUAAGGCGAGAGGAGGUUUGAGUGGGGGAUGAGGUUUUGGGGGAGAUGGUUUCAAGUCCGUGAGUUUAGCAUUUAAUUGGGCAGCAAAGGAAAUGGCCUCAUGAACUGAGGAAGGGCGAAGCAAUUUAACAUCGUAACGCAAUUCCUUCUUGAGACCCCCCAGAAAGCAACUCUUUAAGAGAAUAGGACCAACAUCAUAGGUUCGAGUGGCAAGGCGCCGAAAUUCCACAAUAUAAUCACGAAGAGGGCCGGUUUGGCGGAGUUUGAAUAGCGACUCAGUGCAGUCCUCAAACUCCGGUGGACCAAAUUCCUGGCACAAAGCAGUCGUGAAUUCACCCCAGGUGGGAGUGGAAUGUACACAAUCGCGCCAACGAAACCAGUACAGCGGCUCAUUCUUGAAGUGGAAGGAGGCGGUCAAAACCUUCUGAUUCUCCGGAGUGUGAUAAUAAGCAAAAUAUUGUUCGGCCUUAUAGAUCCACGCUGAGGGAUCAUCACCGUCGGAGAAACGGGGAAAAUCCAGACGAUGUGACCGCUGCGGGCGAGGAGUAAAACCGCCGCCUUCAAAAGAAUCACGGCGCUGAAACCGUGGAGUGUCGAGACAACGAAAAUCGCCAUCAUCGGUCACAAUGGGAGGAGGAAUAUGUGGAUCUGGCACUAGAGGUGGUGGUGCAGUCGAAGAGCCAGCACCGCCUUGAGGACCAGGGUCGCGAUGGAGAUGCUCCAGGAGAAGGGCGAAUUUGGUUUCGAGAGCGGUGAAGCGGGUGUCGGAAUUGGCGUUGGAAGUCUGGAUCAGCUGAGGAAUGGCUCCCAUGGCUUCCAGAGUAGCUUCCACGGCGGAGAGGCGCGAUUCAACAGUGGACAUUCGAGAAUUUGUGGUGUGGCGGGGCAUACAAGAGGGAGACUCAGGAUCGAGAGGCUGAUACCAAUUGUUAGGUCAAAACUUCUAAAUUCCCUUUCUCGACCUGCUAGUAGCUGAUAGUAAUGGCGGUGAGUGAGUGGGAAGGAAAAUAGAGAGAGAUAGAAAGUUUCUUGUAAUAUUGUUUUUCUAAUUCAAUCCUGCAGAACAAUGCCACAAUUUGGUUCUUAUACAACCAUCCUUCUCACAAUGCCAGCUGGCUACUAACAAUAACGACAUGUAGCUAAAUAGUUUUCCACUAUUAUUCUAACCACUAUUAUAAUCAUAACACCCACAUUCGGGAAUUCUGUCAAACAGUUUGCAGACACACAGACGGGCGAAAACAGAACUACCAAAUUAGACCUCACAGCAACCGAAUCACUAUUCGAGAACAUACCCAUCAUUGGAUCGCAGAUCACGGGGUCCCAGGCGUAGUCGUGCACGAGCUGGCGCAAGGAGACGGCGAAAUGCGGGGAGGGAAUUGAGGGUGUGGAAGAGGGAAUUGAAAGUGGGGCCGGGGAGGUGGAAAGAGAGGGAGAGAGAAGUGGGGAGCUUGGAGGAGGAGAGCAGCGGAGAGAGGGAGGAGAAGAAGGGUCUGAAGGCGAAGAGAGAGGCGGAGAGAAGAAGGAAGGAGAGGAUGGUUUUGACGGCGGCGAGGAGGGCGGUGAGAAAUGGAGCUGGGUUUUGGAGGUGGAGGAAUGGGUUGAGGUCUAGGAGGAGGACGAUGCGCACAGUGCCUGCCUAUCAUGUAAAACCAUUGACAAUGAUACAAGACAGUUUAUUUGGACCUAUAAAACUAUAUUUAUGUAAAACUAUAUUUUAUUCAAUUUCAAAAAUUAGUACAUGCAAUGACAUGUUUGAUCGUAAAAAAAAAAAAAAUGAGAAAUUUUCAGUGUAUCAGAAAUACGAAUCGGUAAAAAAUCUCUCCAAAAAUACAUAUGCAUGUUUUAUUCAAAAGGAAAGGAAUGAGGCGCCAUCAUCCCUAACACACUUUAUUACAAGUAGUAUCAUCCAUUGAGGCAGAGAAGUUAAUUAGAUGCUGUCCUUAAUGGAUGCACUAUAACCGUUGUCAUAGAACCUGUUCCAAAGCAUAACUCCUCCGUACUUGGCCGAAUUCUUAAUUGUUGGAAGGACUUGUGACUUGAGAGCAUCAGCAGGAAUAAAUCCGCUGCGCGCGGCAUCAGUAGACGCCGGUAUCCCCAAGAACACCUGGGUGGCCGAAACCGAGGCCCAUCGGUUCCAACUGCUCAAAAGAGCGUCGGCAUUACCGUCUGCAUACUGGCAUUGGGCUAGGGGGUUGUUGUAGAACUGAACCCAAACGUAGUCAAAUAAACCGGUUGGAUAGCGCCGUCUAG